rnacentral:rRNA from 1 species
AUUGAACGCUGGCGGCAUGCCUUACACAUGCAAGUCGAACGGCAGCACGGGAGCAAUCCUGGUGGCGAGUGGCGAACGGGUGAGUAAUGUAUCGGAACGUACCUUUCAGUGGGGGAUAACGUAGCGAAAGUUACGCUAAUACCGCAUAUUCUGUGAGCAGGAAAGCAGGGGAUCGCAAGACCUUGCGCUGAUUGAGCGGCCGAUAUCAGAUUAGCUAGUUGGUGAGGUAAAGGCUCACCAAGGCGACGAUCUGUAGCGGGUCUGAGAGGAUGAUCCGCCACACUGGAACUGAGAGACGGUCCAGACUCCUACGGGAGGCAGCAGUGGGGAAUUUUGGACAAUGGGCGCAAGCCUGAUCCAGCCAUGCCGCGUGAGUGAAGAAGGCCUUCGGGUUGUAAAGCUCUUUCGGCCGGGAAGAAAUCGUGUGGGUUAAUACCCUGCAUGGAUGACGGUACCGGAAUAAGAAGCACCGGCUAACUACGUGCCAGCCGCCGCCGUAAUAC